rnacentral:rRNA from 1 species
AAACCAACCGGGAUUGCCUCAGUAACGGCGAGUGAAGCGGCAAAAAGCUCAAAUUUGAAAUCUGGCACUUUCAGUGUCCGAGUUGUAAUUUGUAGAAGUAGUUUUGGGACUGGUCCUUAUCUAUGUUUCUUGGAACAGGACGUCAUAGAGGGUGAGAACCCCGUAUGAUGAGGCCCCCAGUCCUUUGUAAAACGCUUUCGAAGAGUCGAGUUGUUUGGGAAUGCAGCUCUAAGUGGGUGGUAAAUUCCAUCUAAAGCUAAAUAUUGGCGAGAGACCGAUAGCGAACAAGUACAGUGAUGGAAAGAUGAAAAGAACUUUGAAAAGAGAGUGAAAAAGUACGUGAAAUUGUUGAAAGGGAAGGGCAUUUGAUCAGACAUGGUGUUUUGCGCCCUUUGCUCCUUGUGGGCGAGGAUACGCAGCUCACUGGGCCAACAUCAGUUUUGGGAGCAGGAUAAAUCUGUAGGAACGUAGCUUUCUUCGGGAAGUGUUAUAGCCUACGGGAAUACUGCUACGUGA